rnacentral:rRNA from 1 species
AAUUGACGGGGCCCGCACAAGCGGUGGAGCAUGUGGUUUAAUCGAAGCAACGCGAAGAACCUUACCAGGUCUUGACAUCCCGAUGCUAUUUCUAGAGAUAGAAAGUUACUUCGGUACAUCGGUGACAGGUGGUGCAUGGUUGUCGUCAGCUCGUGUCGUGAGAUGUUGGGUUAAGUCCCGCAACGAGCGCAACCCCUAUUGUUAGUUGCCAUCAUUCAGUUGGGCACUCUAGCGAGACUGCCGGUAAUAAACCGGAGGAAGUGGGGAUGACGUCAAAUCAUCAUGCCCCUUAUGACCUGGGCUACACACGUGCUACAAUGGUUGGUACAACGAGUUGCGAGUCGGUGACGGCGAGCUAAUCUCUUAAAGCCAAUCUCAGUUCGGAUUGUAGGCUGCAACUCGCCUACAUGAAGUCGGAAUCGCUAGUAAUCGCGGAUCAGCACGCCGCGGUGAAUACGUUCCCGGGCCUU